GGCCUUCGGGUCGUAAAGCCCUGUCAGGGGGGACGAAACCUCGCCGACCCAAUACGUCGGCGACCUGACGGUACCCCCAAAGGAAGCACCGGCUAACUCCGUGCCAGCAGCCGCGGUAAUACGGAGGGUGCGAGCGUUGUUCGGAAUUACUGGGCGUAAAGAGCGUGUAGGCGGCCUCUUAAGUCUGAUGUGAAAGCCCGGGGCUCACCCCCGGAAGUGCCUGGAAAACCAUCGGGCUGGAGUGCUGGAGAGGCAAGCGGAAUUCCUGGUGUAGCGGUGAAAUGCGUAGAUAUCAGGAGGAACACCGGAGGCGAAGGCGGCUUGCUGGACAGACACUGACGCUGAGGCGCGAAAGCUAGGGGAGCAAACGGGAUUAGAUACCCCGGUAGUCCUAGCCGUAAACGAUGGGUACUUGGUGUGGGGGGUGAUGAAGUCCCUCCGUGCCGGCGAUAACUCGUUAAGUACCCCGCCUGGGGAGUACGAUCGCAAGAUUGAAACUCAAAGGAAUUGACGGGGGCCCGCACAAGCGGUGGAGCAUGUGGUUUAAUUCGAGGCUACGCGAAGAACCUUAUCCUGGUCUUGACAUGCUUGGGAACACCCUGGAAACAGGGUGGUGCCUUUCGGGGAACCCUUGCACAGGUGCUGCAUGGCUGUCGUCAGCUCGUGUCGUGAGAUGUCGCGUUAAGUCGCUUAACGAGCGAAACCCUUGUCGCCAGUUGC
rnacentral:rRNA from 1 species